rnacentral:rRNA from 1 species
AUUGAACGCUGGCGGCAGGCUUAACACAUGCAAGUCGAGCGAGCGGCGGACGGGUGAGUAAUGUCUGGGAAACUGCCUGAUGGAGGGGGAUAACUACUGGAAACGGUAGCUAAUACCGCAUACCAUCAGAUGUGCCCAGAUGGGAUUAGCUAGUAGGUGGGGUAAUGGCUCACCUAGGCGACGAUCCCUAGCUGGUCUGAGAGUCUGACCAGCCACACUGGAACUGCGACACGGUCCAGACUCCUACGGGAGGCAGCAGGGGGGAAGAUUGCACAAUGGGCGCAAGCCUGAUGCAGCCAUGCGGCGGGGGUGAAGAAGGCCUGCGGGUUGUAAAGCACUUUCAGCGAGGAGGCGUUACUCGCAGAAGAAGCACCGACUAACUCCGUGCCAGCAGCCGCGGUAAUUC